CCUACGGGAGGCAGCAGUGAGGAAUAUUGGUCAAUGGUCGGGAGACUGAACCAGCCAAGCCGCGUGAGGGAGGAAGGUACAGAGUAUCGUAAACCUCUUUUGUCAGGGAACAAAGGCGGGGACGUGUCCCCGGAUGAGUGUACCUGAAGAAAAAGCAUCGGCUAACUCCGUGCCAGCAGCCGCGGUAAUACGGAGGAUGCGAGCGUUAUCCGGAUUUAUUGGGGUUAAAGGGUGCGCAGGCGGUCUGUUAAGUCAGCGGUCAAAGCCCGGGGCUCAACCCCGGCCCGCCGUUGAAACUGGCAGUCUCGAGUUGGAGAGAAGUAGGCGGAAUGCGCGGUGUAGCGGUGAAAGGCAUAGAUAUCGCGCAGAACUCCGAUUGCGAAGGCAGCAUGCCGGAUCCACACUGACGCUGAGGCACGAAAGCGUGGGUAUCGAACAGGAUUAGAUACCCCUGUAGUC
rnacentral:rRNA from 1 species